UACGAGGGCCCCAAGCAUUAUCCGGAUUUAUUGGGCGUAAAGCGUCCGUAGGCGGUUUGUCGCAUCUCCUGUUAAAUCCUCUGGCUUAACCAGGGGGCUGCGGGAGAGAUGGAUAAACUAGAGACUGGAAGAGGCAAGCGGAAUUGCUGGUGUAGGGGUUAAAUCCGUUAAUAUCAGCAGGAACACUCAAUGCGAAAGCAACUUGCUGGGACAGUUCUGACGUUCAUGGACGAAAGCGUGGGGAGCGAAUGGGAUUAGAUACCCCCCGUAGUCCCUGA
rnacentral:rRNA from 1 species